rnacentral:rRNA from 1 species
GACGAACGCUGGCGGCGUGCCUAAUACAUGCAAGUUGAGCGCUGAAGGUUGGUACUUGUACCAACUGGAUGAGCAGCGAACGGGUGAGUAACGCGUGGGGAAUCUGCCUUUGAGCGGGGGACAACAUUUGGAAACGAAUGCUAAUACCGCAUAAAAACUUUAAACACAAGUUUUAAGUUUGAAAGAUGCAAUUGCAUCACUCAAAGAUGAUCCCGCGUUGUAUUAGCUAGUUGGUGAGGUAAAGGCUCACCAAGGCGAUGAUACAUAGCCGACCUGAGAGGGUGAGCUGCCACACUGGGACUGAGACACGGCCCAAACUCCUGCGGGAGGCAGCAGUAGGGAAUCUUCGGCAAUGGACGAAAGUCUGACCGAGCAACGCCGCGUGAGUGAAGAAGGUUGUCGGAUCGUAAAACUCUGUUGGUAGAGAAGAACGUUGGUGAGAGUGGAAAGCUCAUCAAGUGACGGUAACUACCCAGAAAGGGACGGCUAACUACGUG